rnacentral:rRNA from 1 species
AACGAACGCUGGCGGCAUGCCUAACACAUGCAAGUCGAACGAGACCUUCGGGUCUAGUGGCGCACGGGUGCGUAACGCGUGGGAACCUGCCCUUAGGUUCGGAAUAACUCCCCGACAGGGGUGCUAAUACCGGAUAAUGUCUUCGGACCAAAGAUUUAUCGCCUUUGGAUGUGCCCGCGUUGGAUUAGCUAGUUGGUAGGGUAAAAGCCUACCAAGGCGACGAUCCAUAGCUGGUCUGAGAGGAUGAUCAGCCACACUGGGACUGAGACACGGCCCAGACUCCUACGGGAGGCAGCAGUGGGGAAUAGUGGACAACGGGCGAAAGCCUGAUCCAGCAAUGCCGCGUGAGUGAUGAAGGCCUUAGGGUUGUAAAGCGCUUUUACCCGGGAUGAUAAUGACAGUACCGGGAGAAUAAGCUCCGGCUAACUCCGUG